rnacentral:rRNA from 1 species
UACAGAGGGUGCGAGCGUUAAUCGGAAUUACUGGGCGUAAAGCGCGUGUAGGCUGCCCCGCAAGUCGGAUGUGAAAGCCCUGGGCUCAACCUAGGAAGUGCAUUCGAAACUGCAGGACUUGAGGCUGGGAGGGGCUGGUGGAAUUCCCUGUGUAGCGGUGAAAUGCGCAGAUAUCAGGAGGAACACCCGUAGCGAAGGCGGCACUCUGGGCCGAUACUGACACUGAGGAGCGAAAGCGUGGGGAGCGAACAGG